rnacentral:rRNA from 1 species
UACGGGGGGGGCAAGCGUUGUUCGGAAUUACUGGGCGUAAAGGGCUCGUAGGCGGCCAACUAAGUCAGACGUGAAAUCCCUCGGCUUAACCGGGGAACUGCAUCUGAUACUGGAUGGCUUGAGUUCGGGAGAGGGAUGCGGAAUUCCAGGUGUAGCGGUGAAAUGCGCAGAUAUCUGGAGGAACACCGGUGGCGAAGGCGGCAUCCUGGACCGACACUGACGCUGAGGAGCGAAAGCCAGGGGAGCAAACGGG